ACUAAGCGUACACGGUGGAUGCCCUGGCAGUCAGAGGCGAUGAAGGACGUGCUAAUCUGCGAUAAGCGUCGGUAAGGUGAUAUGAACCGUUAUAACCGGCGAUUUCCGAAUGGGGAAACCCAGUGUGAUUCGUCACACUAUCAUUAACUGAAUCCAUAGGUUAAUGAGGCGAACCGGGGGAACUGAAACAUCUAAGUACCCCGAGGAAAAGAAAUCAACCGAGAUUCCCCCAGUAGCGGCGAGCGAACGGGGAGCAGCCCAGAGCCUGAAUCAGUGUGUGUGUUAGUGGAAGCGUCUGGAAAGGCGCGCGAUACAGGGUGACAGCCCCGUACACAAAAAUGCACAUGCUGUGAGCUCGAUGAGUAGGGCGGGACACGUGGUAUCCUGUCUGAAUAUGGGGGGACCAUCCUCCAAGGCUAAAUACUCCUGACUGACCGAUAGUGAACCAGUACCGUGAGGGAAAGGCGAAAAGAACCCCGGCGAGGGGAGUGAAAAAGAACCUGAAACCGUGUACGUACAAGCAGUGGGAGCACGCUUAGGCGUGUGACUGCGUACCUUUUGUAUAAUGGGUCAGCGACUUAUAUUCUGUAGCAAGGUUAACCGAAUAGGGGAGCCGAAGGGAAACCGAGUCUUAACUGGGCGUUAAGUUGCAGGGUAUAGACCCGAAACCCGGUGAUCUAGCCAUGGGCAGGUUGAAGGUUGGGUAACACUAACUGGAGGACCGAACCGACUAAUGUUGAAAAAUUAGCGGAUGACUUGUGGCUGGGGGUGAAAGGCCAAUCAAACCGGGAGAUAGCUGGUUCUCCCCGAAAGCUAUUUAGGUAGCGCCUCGUGAAUUCAUCUCCGGGGGUAGAGCACUGUUUCGGCAAGGGGGUCAUCCCGACUUACCAACCCGAUGCAAACUACGAAUACCGGAGAAUGUUAUCACGGGAGACACACGGCGGGUGCUAACGUCCGUCGUGAAGAGGGAAACAACCCAGACCGCCAGCUAAGGUCCCAAAGUCAUGGUUAAGUGGGAAACGAUGUGGGAAGGCCCAGACAGCCAGGAUGUUGGCUUAGAAGCAGCCAUCAUUUAAAGAAAGCGUAAUAGCUCACUGGUCGAGUCGGCCUGCGCGGAAGAUGUAACGGGGCUAAACCAUGCACCGAAGCUGCGGCAGCGACGCUGAUGCGUUGUUGGGUAGGGGAGCGUUCUGUAAGCCUGCGAAGGUGUGCUGUGAGGCAUGCUGGAGGUAUCAGAAGUGCGAAUGCUGACAUAAGUAACGAUAAAGCGGGUGAAAAGCCCGCUCGCCGGAAGACCAAGGGUUCCUGUCCAACGUUAAUCGGGGCAGGGUGAGUCGACCCCUAAGGCGAGGCCGAAAGGCGUAGUCGAUGGGAAACAGGUUAAUAUUCCUGUACUUGGUGUUACUGCGAAGGGGGGACGGAGAAGGCUAUGUUGGCCGGGCGACGGUUGUCCCGGUUUAAGCGUGUAGGCUGGUUUUCCAGGCAAAUCCGGAAAAUCAAGGCUGAGGCGUGAUGACGAGGCACUACGGUGCUGAAGCAACAAAUGCCCUGCUUCCAGGAAAAGCCUCUAAGCAUCAGGUAACAUCAAAUCGUACCCCAAACCGACACAGGUGGUCAGGUAGAGAAUACCAAGGCGCUUGAGAGAACUCGGGUGAAGGAACUAGGCAAAAUGGUGCCGUAACUUCGGGAGAAGGCACGCUGAUAUGUAGGUGAAGCGACUUGCUCGUGGAGCUGAAAUCAGUCGAAGAUACCAGCUGGCUGCAACUGUUUAUUAAAAACACAGCACUGUGCAAACACGAAAGUGGACGUAUACGGUGUGACGCCUGCCCGGUGCCGGAAGGUUAAUUGAUGGGGUUAGCGCAAGCGAAGCUCUUGAUCGAAGCCCCGGUAAACGGCGGCCGUAACUAUAACGGUCCUAAGGUAGCGAAAUUCCUUGUCGGGUAAGUUCCGACCUGCACGAAUGGCGUAAUGAUGGCCAGGCUGUCUCCACCCGAGACUCAGUGAAAUUGAACUCGCUGUGAAGAUGCAGUGUACCCGCGGCAAGACGGAAAGACCCCGUGAACCUUUACUAUAGCUUGACACUGAACAUUGAGCCUUGAUGUGUAGGAUAGGUGGGAGGCUUUGAAGUGUGGACGCCAGUCUGCAUGGAGCCGACCUUGAAAUACCACCCUUUAAUGUUUGAUGUUCUAACGUGGACCCGUGAUCCGGGUUGCGGACAGUGUCUGGUGGGUAGUUUGACUGGGGCGGUCUCCUCCUAAAGAGUAACGGAGGAGCACGAAGGUUGGCUAAUCCUGGUCGGACAUCAGGAGGUUAGUGCAAUGGCAUAAGCCAGCUUGACUGCGAGCGUGACGGCGCGAGCAGGUGCGAAAGCAGGUCAUAGUGAUCCGGUGGUUCUGAAUGGAAGGGCCAUCGCUCAACGGAUAAAAGGUACUCCGGGGAUAACAGGCUGAUACCGCCCAAGAGUUCAUAUCGACGGCGGUGUUUGGCACCUCGAUGUCGGCUCAUCACAUCCUGGGGCUGAAGUAGGUCCCAAGGGUAUGGCUGUUCGCCAUUUAAAGUGGUACGCGAGCUGGGUUUAGAACGUCGUGAGACAGUUCGGUCCCUAUCUGCCGUGGGCGCUGGAGAACUGAGGGGGGCUGCUCCUAGUACGAGAGGACCGGAGUGGACGCAUCACUGGUGUUCGGGUUGUCAUGCCAAUGGCACUGCCCGGUAGCUAAAUGCGGAAGAGAUAAGUGCUGAAAGCAUCUAAGCACGAAACUUGCCCCGAGAUGAGUUCUCCCUGACUCCUUGAGAGUCCUGAAGGAACGUUGAAGACGACGACGUUGAUAGGCCGGAUGUGUAAGCGCAGCGAUGCGUUGAGCUAACCGGUACUAAUGAACCGUGAGGCUUAACC
rnacentral:rRNA from 1 species